rnacentral:rRNA from 1 species
GAUGAACGCUGACAGAAUGCUUAACACAUGUCAGUCGAUGGGGAAGCGGUGCUUGCACCAUGGCAACCAUGGCGGACGGGUGAGUAACGCGUAAGGGACUUACCUGCAGGACUGGGAUAACAGGGGGAAACUCCUGACAAGACCGGAUAAUGUCAUGGAGCUGCAUGGCUUUAUGAUGAAAGGAGACGCCUGCGGAGAGCCUUGCGUCCUAUUAGCUAGUUGGUGAGGUAAUGGCUCACCAAGGCGAAGAUAGGUAGCCGGCCUGAGAGGGUGGACGGCCACAAGGGGACUGAGAUACGGCCCUUACUCCUACGGGAGGCAGCAGUGGGGAAUAUUGGACAAUGGGGGCAACCCUGAUCCAGCAAUUCUGUGUGCACGAAGAGGGUUUUCGGAGUGUAAAGUGCUUUCAGCAGGGAAGAAGUAAGUGACGGUACCUGCAGAAGAAGCGACGGCUAAAUACGUG